GUGUCAGCAGCCGCGGUAAUACGUAGGGGGCUAGCGUUGUCCGGAAUCAUUGGGCGUAAAGAGCGCGUAGGCGGCCCGAUAAGUCUGCUGUGAAAGUCCAGGGCUCAACCCUGGAAUGCCAGUGGAUACUGUCGGGCUAGAGUACGGAAGAGGCGAGUGGAAUUCCUGGUGUAGCGGUGGAAUGCGCAGAUAUCAGGAGGAACACCAAUAGCGAAGGCAGCUCGCUGGGACGUUACUGACGCUGAGGCGCGAAAGCGUGGGGAGCAAACAGGAUUAGAUACCCGCGUAGUCC
rnacentral:rRNA from 1 species